AGUUGGUGUUAGCCCAAACUGUGCAGCAAAGCCCAAACCGAGCAUCAACCCAAAAACAAAAGCGCAGAUCCAAUAGAGAGAAACUGAGAAGGCGCGAAACAGAAAACGACACCACCCUAUAUAUAAAUCCCAACACAGGAGAAAUUAACGAAUAGUCGGUCAAUGCAAGUUGACUAUCAGCUACCCAAAGCCAUAUAUCUACAAUGGAAACUGAUCAGAUGUCUUCUCUCUGAUCUCAUUCCUAUUAGAACUGGAUGAUUACAUCUUACAACUCUUAUUUUCGAUUAUAUAGCUAGGCAACUCUUUAUGUUUUUUCUAUACCAAAGAGACCACUGAUCCUUGCAUGCCAGCUCUGACAGUUGACCAGAUUGAAAGGUAACAAGUUUUUUCUGAUUUUGGCCUUGGGUGGUCUGAAUUGAGGUAAUCAUGGCUCUGGAUUUGGUCGGAGGAUCACUGUUUACACUGCUCUAUGACGGCGUUAAGCAAGCAAUGGUGAAGACUACUCAGUUCAAAUCCCUCCUUGCAGAUCUCAAAUCCACGCUAGACUCUUUGCAGCCAAGAAUCAUUGAGCAGAUUGGAGAGCACAACACAGAAUUGGGCCUCCCAAACGAGGAAAUAGAAGAUCUCAAAAGACAAAUGGAGGAGGGAGUGAAGCUCGUUGGGAAGUUUUCCGAGUUGCGUGUGUGGAACUACUGCUGCGUAGGGGAUUACACUGAUCAACUUAUUGAAUUGGAUAGGGCUCUUAGAAGACUGCUGGAAAUGUUAAGGCUGCAGGAAGCGAGGGAUGUGAAGGAGACUUUGCUUUUGUCGAGGCAAAACCGUGACAAACUUGAUGAAGUGAAUAGGAGGCUGAUAGAGAUACAGAAGUUGUUAGUGCAGCAGCAGCAGCAGCAAGCAGGGGGUGUGACGGAGGCCACGGAUUCAGGAAAUAAUACGGAGGUGGUUCCCGAGCCAAUUCAAGGGAAUGGCAUACAAGUGGCUGAGUUGGAUGGAGGAGAUGCUCUAGAAGCAGUAUUUGGGAUGCUUUUUGAUGCUAUUUUAGAAGUGGAGGACAAGGCUGUGAUGUUUAAAACCCCCCUUGGUGAUCUCAAAUCCACCCUAGAUUCCUUAAAACCACUGAUUGAAGAGAUAGCACAACGUAACAAGGUAUUGGUUCGCCCAAAGGAGGAGCUAGAAAAAUUUAAGAAACAAAUGGAGAAGGGUGUGGUGUUGAUUCCCAAGUGUUCCAAGGUUCAUCCCUGGGCCAGCUGCAAAAAGUCCACGUACACUGAAACACUUAUUGAAUUGGAUAAAUUUCUUCAAAGACAGUUGUAUAUUCUCAAAAUGCAGGUAGCAAGGGAUGUGAGGAACACCUUAGUUUCGAUAAGGAAUAUAGAGGUGGCAAUUGAGCAAAUUGAAAAGAGUGGUGUGCUACAAAAUCAAGUUCAAACUGAAAGUUGUUCAACGGUAUCUGGACCUUCGCCGCCUACAGUUGGAUUGGAUGUAGUGAAUGUGCAGGGAACAAGGGAUGUGGAGGAGACAAUGAGUUCAAUAAAGAAUACAGAAGCAGGGGUCAAACCAAUUGAAGAGAGUGGUGUAGUACAAAUUCAACUUGAAACUAAAGGAACCAAAAAUGCUCCCAAGGAUUACACACUACUCUCUCGGGUAUCCCAUGCUUUCAGCGGGAACAUAGAUUCGGACACUAGCAGUGGCGGAGGAACAAGUCUAUUCUCGGAGGGAAAAACAUCAACAUUCAGAAGCAAAGAUGAUGAUCAGUCAAUUGAUUGCCAUAUCUUGGAGACAUCCAACCUAAGAGUUUUCAGUUUUGCAGAGUUGAAGACUGCUACAAGGAAUUUCACGGCAGACAAAAUACUUAGUGAGGGAGGCUUUGGGAAGGUUUUCAAGGGCUGGCUGGAUGAGACGACGCUUUCACCUUCUAAACCUGGCACUGGAAUGGUGGUUGCUGUCAAGAAACUGAACCCAGAAAGUUUUCAAGGCUUUGAAGGGUGGCAGCUGGCAGAGGUGAACUUUGUAGGAAGGCUUUCUCAUCCCAACCUUGUGAAGCUGUUGGGAUACUGUUGGGAAGAUAAGGAGUCACUCCUUGUUUAUGAGUUCAUGAGCAGAGGAAGCUUGGAGAACCAUCUUUUCAGACGUCAUCCAAACCUUGAACCACUAUCUUGGGAAAAAAGAAUCAAAAUAGCUAUCGGAGCAGCUCGAGGCCUGGCCUUCUUGCACAGCUCAGAAAAACAAAUUAUAUACAGAGAUUUUAAGACCUCAAAUAUAUUGCUUGAUGGGAAUUACAAUGCAAAACUCUCGGAUUUUGGCUUGGCGAAAUUGGGACCAACUGGUGGAGACUCACAUGUGUCAACUAGGGUUAUGGGGACAUAUGGUUAUGCUGCUCCAGAAUACAUUGCAACAGGUCAUUUGUAUGUGAAGAGCGAUGUGUAUGGCUUUGGUGUUGUACUGCUUGAACUUCUCACAGGGUUACGAGCACUCGAUCCUAAACGCCCCCAGGGACAAGUGAAUCUGGUAGACUGGGCUAAACCACUUCUUUCAAAUAAAAGAAAGUUGAAAACCAUCAUCGAUGCGCAGAUGGAAGGCCAAUAUUCCUUGAAAGCGGCAUCAAGGGCAGGACUGAUUACUCUAAAAUGUCUAGCACCAGAUCCUAAAAUCCGACCUUCCAUGAAAGAAGUUGUGGAGGAACUGGAACAGAUUCAGGCAAUCAAGGAAUAACUUAAGUCGAUCUACAGAUUCAAGCAACUCUAAAAUGUCUUUAGCUUAAGUUCAAUAUGGUUCCCCACCUGUUUGAUGAAAUGCCCAAGACAAAGAUGGUUAGGCAGUUUCACUGAAUAAUAGUCUCUUAUUGUGAAUCAGCAAAUUGAUGGCUUUGAUGGCUUUCAAGGACAAAGCAGCCCCUGAAUAAGAGUCUCUUAAUGUGAAUCAGCAAACCUUAUAUACGAUUCGCCAGUGCUAGACAGACAAUGAACCCUUUUUUCUCUAUCUUGAAUUUUUGCCCCCCACAUGUUUGAUGAAAUGCCCAAGAGAAGAUGGGAGACAAUCUGUCGAUAAACACUACAUCUUUCCUCUGCUCUUCAUGAGUAAUAUACUAAUAUAUACCAAGAAAAAUUUGUCAAACUGUAUUUUAGUCAAGGUUGAAGAGCUUUAAUGUUGACCCAUAUCAUUAUAAAACCAAUACUGCAUCCCUGUUAUGCUAUUAUACGCGUUUACUUUGAAGGUGGGUUAGUAUUUUCCCUGCUAUGAAAGUUCCAAGAAAUGUCAAUGCAUUGACCUCAAACUUUUGCCUCGUCUCUUUUUUAAUUUGGUUGGUGUUGGGGUGUAGCUAGCCCCAAAAUAUGAGAGCAGGGGCACUUGAAUAUGCUGGGUUUGUGAGGAAAGUGAGGACUCUUUCGAUCUUGAUCUUUACUCUUUCUUCAUCCAAAGCAAAAGCCCCAUCAACCUCUUGGAGAAAUCAAGCUCUGUGCCCUGCCUCCAACAAAUAUAUUACUUCUCUCCUUGCUCUUCAUCAAAGCUUACACUGAAACGAAUACAGUUUUCGACUUUGUUGUGAUAUUUAAGAAUCAGUAAUGGUUAUAGUAGGGGAGUUUGUAGGGGGUGCAGCUCUUGGUGCAGCAUUUGGGCUGUUGUUUGAUGUUGUGAAGAAAGCAGUUGACAAGCCUAGUACCUUUAGAUCCCUCUUUGAGAACAUUAAAUUUUCGCUAAAGUUUUUAAAACCAAUGAUCGAAAAGAUAGGAGAACAUAACGUGGAAUUGGGUCUCCCAGAUGAAGAAAUAAAGUAUAUUAUAAGAGAAAUGGAGGAGGGUGUAAAGCUUGUCCAGAAGUCAUCAAAGAUCAGUAAGUGGAACUGCAUGAAGUUUUAUUACACCGAUCAACUUAUUGAACUAGAUGGGUCUCUUAAAAGACUGUUAGAUGUAUUGAUAGUGCAAGGAUUAAGAGAUGGGAAGGAGACUUUGAUUUUGGCAAGAAAACACCAAGACCAACUUAUUGAAUCGGCAAGAGAUGCAAAGGAGACCUUGGUUUUGGCACAAAAGAACAAUGACCAGCUUAUUGAAUCAGCAAAGGAUGGGAAAGAGACCUUAGUUCUGGCAAGACAAAAUGCGGACCAACUUAUUGAUUCGUCAAGAGAUGGGAAGGAGACCUUGGAUUUGGCAAGACAAAACAAUGCCCAGCUUAUUGAAUCAGCAAGGGAUGGAAAGGAGACCUUGGUUUUGGCCAAGAACAUUAAAAGGUUUCUCAAAUGAAUUGAAUGUUUGGUGCGUUGUACUUAUAAAGGAAAUUCCAGAUAUCACAGUGGGAGCAGAGUUUCAAAAGCAAGCAGAAGCUCAGGAAGAGGUCGAAUUUUGGAGACAUCCAACUUAAGAGUUUACCGUUUUGCCGAGUUGAAGGAUGCUACUCAGAAUUUCAGGCAAGG